rnacentral:lncRNA from 1 species
AGCACCUCUUACCCUUAGAGGCCAUUAGUUCGAAAUCAAAAAAAUAUCGGCUUCGAUCAAUGAGGUGGUCAAAGUGACGAAGCUUUAAAGGUCGCUUGUUUAUAUCCUCUAUGACCUAGAACUCCUCCUUACUGAGCUCAAACCUCGUACUGGAAUCUAACCAACAAUAGUUAGACAAAAAUUGUGAAAAACUUAGUAGAAAGUAAACUACAACUUAAGUUGGGACACUCAUGAGCUUCGUAGUACUAGGUCGGUACUGUACAAGCCAAGGCUGUGUCCCCCUCCACUGUCUGCCACCUGCCUCUCACUUAGAACCACAAUUCUUUCCAUCCCUUGAUGGAAGAAGGCAGCCCCACCAUGAAAGGUGCGUGAGCCCCCAGGCAAUGAUGUAGUACCAUCCAUUGGAUUCGUUUUUACCUAAGACUCAAGGUUGAAAGAGGGUCUAAAAGACGUGCAGAAGCAUGUCCUUUCCUAUGGAUACUUUCUUCCAUAAGAAGUACAACCUAAUGAGCUAGCUCCACCCAUUUUGGCAGAACCUGGGUCAGUGACAACAUAAAGUUCCUUAGCACAGCCUUGAAGAAGGGGUGCAGAGGAAGACGCGUACCUGCCUUAAACAAGUAUUCACUUACUGCUACACAUCCAGGCCUCGAAAAGCAUGCCCACUUGUCGG